rnacentral:rRNA from 1 species
CCAAUAGCGUAUAUUAAAGUUGUUGCAGCUAAAAAGCUCGUAGUUGAAUUUCGGGAUUGACACAUCGGUCGUGCCUUAAGGGGUAUGAACUGGUGUAGUCAAUUUCUCACCUUCUGGAGAACCGCGAUGCCCUUAAUUGGGUGUCACGGGGAACCAGGACCUUUACUUUGAAAAAAUUAGAGUGUUUAAAGCAGGCAUUUUGCUUGAAUACAUUAGCAUGGAAUAAUAAAAUAGGACGGCAUGAUUCUAUUUUGUUGGUUUCUAGGAUCACCGUAAUGAUUAAUAGGGAUAGUUGGGGGCAUUAGUAUUAAAUUGUCAGAGGUGAAAUUCUUGGAUUUAUUGAAGACUAACUACUGCGAAAGCAUUUGCCAAGGAUGUUUUCAUUAAUCAAGAACGAAAGUUAGGGGAUCGAAGACGAUCAGAUACCGUCGUAGUCUUAACCAUAAACUAUGCCGACUAGGAAUCAGACGAUGUUAAUUUUUUAAUGACUCGUUUGGCACCUUACG